AGAGUUUGAUCCUGGCUCAGAUUGAACGCUGGCGGCAUGCCUAACACAUGGCAAGUCGAACGGUAGCAGGGCCGUUCGGGUGCUGACGAGUGGCGGACGGGUGAGUAAUGCGUAGGAAUCUGUCUUUUAGUGGGGGACAACCCAGGGAAACUUGGGCUAUACCGCAUGAGCCCUGAGGGGGAAAGCGGGGGGAUCUUCGGACCUCGCGCUAAGAGAAGAGCCUACGUCGUCGAUUUAGGCUAGUUGGGUAGGGGUAAAGGCCUACCAAGGCGACGAUCAGUAGCUGGUCUGAAGAGGACGGACCAGCCACACUGGGGACUGAGACACGGGCCCAGACUCCUACGGGGAGGCGA
rnacentral:rRNA from 1 species